GAUGAAGAACGUAGCGAAAUGCGAUAAGUAGUGUGAAUUGCAGAAUUCCGUGAAUCAUCGAAUCUUUGAACGCACAUUGCGCCCCUUGGUAUUCCGGGGGGCAUGCCUCUUCCAGCGUCAUUUCACCCCUCAAGCUCUGCUUGGUUUUGGGCCGCGCCGGCAACGGCGGGCCUCGAAAAUAGUGGCGACGCCAUCGUGCUCUCAGCGUAGUAAUUCUUCUCGCUGUUGGGUCCCGGUGGUCGUCCGCCAGCAACCCCCAACUUUCUUAAGUUUGACCUGGGAUGAGGUAGGGAUACCCGCUGAACUUAAGCAUAUCAAUAAGCGGAGGA
rnacentral:misc_RNA from 1 species